GAUGAACGCUGGCGGCGUGCUUAACACAUGCAAGUCGAACGGAAAGGCCCUGCUUUUGUGGGGUGCUCGAGUGGCGAACGGGUGAGUCACACGUGGGUAACCUGCCCUUGACUUGGGGAUACCUUCAAGAAACUGGGGCUAAUACCGGAAAGGAGCUCCUCCUGCAUGGGGGGGGUUGGCAAGUUUUGGCGGUGGGGGAUGGACUGGCGGCUUCUAAGCUUGUUGGUGGGGUAGUGGCCUACCAGGGCGUUGACGGCAAGCCGGCCUUGCGGGGUGACCGGCCACAUUGGUGCUGCGAUGCGGCCCAGACGCCUACGGGAGGCAGCAGUGGGGAAUAUUGCACCAUGGGCGGAAGCCGGAUGCAGCAACGCCGCGUGCGGGAUGACGGCCUUCGGGGUGUAGACCGCUUUCGCCUGUGACGAAGCGUCAGUGACGGUAAUUGGUAAAUAAGCACCGGCUAACUACGUG
rnacentral:rRNA from 1 species